CAAGGACCCAAUCGAAUGGCCUAUAAAAACAAAGAACUAAUUCGGAACAGCACGAUACGAUUAGAUUAACACCACAGAGUUUCAAUCGAAGUGGGAAUCUCCCGGAAAAUCUAGGAGUAGAAAGUUGGAGAGAGUUGUAAUGGAUGUGUAAUAUUUUUACGACUACUUGUAGAGAUAGGAAGAUUCGAAAGUGCGGCACAAGAAGCCUAGUUGUACAUAAAACUGCUGUUUGAAAACUAGGUCAUUGAGUUGAUAACAUUCAAUGUUUUUAAAUAAUAUUACCCAGCAAGAAUAUAUUAAAUAUCUGCAUUAUAUCAAGCUAAUAUACCCCAUCAGGUUUGCAGUAGUCGAAUGAAAAUUUGAUUAAAACCGUGUCAGUUUAAAGAGUUUUCCACGCCUCAAUGAAUUUACGUAAUUUCCAGAUAUUAUGAAUAACUGCGGUUCGUUCAGAAAUAACUAUGAGCAACGAGCAAGCCACCCCCAGAUACGAGCCCUCACGUCCGCGUACAACAUAUUCUACCCAUUCGUACUCGCCAGAAAGCUCCAGAUACGCUCGGUUAUAGUCAAUAGGUAUAUAGGUAUAGGUGUGAGCCACGUGCGUAUGGCUUUAUCUUUUGCGUAAACUGAACCCACACCGGGUGAAAUGUUGGUGCCAGUUGGAAAAAAACAAGUAUAUCUUAUCGUUCGAGAGAGCGUCAAACAGUUACCUCCGCUCUGAAAGUUAAGUUUCAUUCGCUUUUGGAAUUAUGGCGCAAAUUGCUGAUAACGCUCCACAUUCCACUACACGUAUGUAUCUUGGCUCGGAAAAGAGGAGCCAACCAACCCAGUACCCAAAACGUUCCUCCGUCCCUUUCCCGGGUGCCAUGUGUUCUGGAAUACGAAUAAAAAGUGAAUAUCGCCCAGCGAGUUGAAUAAAUAUUUGCCAUACACGACGAAUGCUGUGCAAAGAAUGCCAUUUUAAUAUUGAAUAUUUGCUCGUAAACUUCGUUGGGAACGUGAAAACGCCCCCAUGCUCCAGAUGUAAUCAUAUGUACGUCCCAGGGCACAGUUCAUACAUACAUACAUAUAUACGUUUUUCGAUAUUGCCAUGAGAUAAAGCCUAUGACCGAAAAUACCAUUAAAAAACAAACUAAAAGCCACGGGCCCCGGGGAAUUUGGAACUUUGCCUUCUCAUAUAUCAAAAUUCUAGGUGCUGAAGAAUACUCUAGCUUGUUUGGCCUACAAAAACAAGCAGAGUCAAUUUGUACUGUAUUUCAUAAUACUCCCAUCUAGCAAACAACAAUAUUUGUUUGUCUGCAUGAGCAUAAAUUUAGUUCACCCUUCAGUUAUUGCAGAACUGAAGUUGAUAAAGACCUGUUCCUAAUGGAAAUUCGUCUUAUGUUUAUACAGAAAACAACGAGUCAAGGUCUCGCCGUUUCAGUACAAUAAAAUAGUGUUCCUGGAA
rnacentral:sRNA from 1 species